GAAGCCGGUUGGGGGUGGCCGGGGCUCCGGCGGGGCCCCCCACGCUCUGUGGCGGCCGCCGGCCCGCGUCCCUGAGGUGAGGGGUGCGGCCGCCCCUACUGCAGCCUUCCCGCCGCCCGGAGCGGUGGGGUGGCCUUCUGCGGACCGGCCCCCGCCGCCGCGCGCCGGGAAAAGCGCCUGUCCGAGGCGGUGAAGUGGCACCCACCCUGCUUGCUGGGUUAGCUUCUCCUUAAGCCGGCUCGCUUUAAACCGGCACGGCCUGGUUUCCAGAAAAAACCAAAAUUAUUAAUUCCUGGGGGUGCGUGCCCCCUUCGUGGUAGCUACUGAGAGUGCCCUCAACGGAAUCAGUGGAUGGUGCCUUCGGCAAUAAGCAAACUUCAGUCAGGAUGUUGUGGUUCUUUCUAGGGCCUUCCAAAUCCCUGGCUACCCUGCUGGACAACAGAGACAACUUAAUAAAAGAUUUUCCUAUGCUGUGAGCUUCACUUCUGUUUUCGACACUUCCUGCUGAGAAGUAGUUGCACAGAAAGAGUUGAACCCAUGCUGCUGUUCUUGAGCUCAGUGUUGCUUCAGAUCAUCAGAAUGAAACCAAGAUGACAUUGGCCAGCUGCAAGUUUAAUUUCAUUGUGGUACUUUUGGAGCUGCACAGUUAUACCUGUGCAAAGAUUUUGCAGAGAAAACAGGGGGAAAGAACCAAACAGACAAACCUGAAAAAAAAUUAAUAAAAGGAAUACUUCUCUUUUGACUGAAUGUGCUGGGAUAGUUUACUGUCUUAAUAGCCAACAGAAAUAAGAACAAAAUCUCUACUUUCUGUUCCUUUCAAAUUUCUGACUCCCUGUCCCUUUGAAUAUCUGACAGUUGUUGCUCAAUUUCUAUGUUUCUCUAAAUCCAAACUAGACCCGGAACAUGAAGUAGAAGCUCUGCAAAGAAGCAGGAGGGUAGGUUUCAAGAUAAUGCCACUUUCUGUAUUGCAAUAAGUUUUUUUGCUCACUUGAAAAAGUUACUUCAUGUCAUGUUUAAUUGUAUCUUUACAAAAAAGUAAGCAGAGGGAAGGGUCAUAUUUAUAAUGAGAAAGUUAAUUUGAUAUAAAAUGCCAGUGAAGAUAAGGUACAACUAGUUUUUUAGCUUGGUGUAGGUAGUCCACUAAAUGCCAGAUAAGGGCAGGUAUGAUGGUAUGUACCAACCAUGCUGAAACAGAAGUUCCACUGUCUUUUCUCAAACAGGAUUUUAUAUUGAAGUACAUAUUUUAGGUGUUUGUUUUGUUUUGUGUUUUUCCUGGGUGAAAACAUACCAUUAAACACCCACCUAACUGUUCUUUCACAUGGCAGAACAGAAUUAGGGUACCUUAUUGUUCCCCAACUUUGGUCUCCACUUUCUUUGACACAUUAAGUUUUAUAAUGGCUCAUCACUGAAUACCUAAACAGCAGAUGCUAUUAAUACAUUAUGGGCAUGUCAAAUUCUUACUGAUUUUUAACUGCUUUGGCUUCUUAAAGUUGGUAUUUAAUGAGAUCCAAAUAGAUGCGUUUUUUUUUUUUUCUAUUAAUUCAAAACAAAUAUCCAAACAUGAUUAAGUCACUUAAAGUGCUUUAGACUGAGAUGGCACAAAAUGCAAGAGUUCUAUAGUUACAGCCUUGUAAUACAAUUUUUUAGAAAAUCAGUACCUUUUUUUUAAUUCAUCAGAAGCUAUUGUCUGUAAGUUAGACUGCAUAAUGAGUUUUGAAGUGUUCCACUCAGGUGUUGAAAGGGCAUUAAAAUUUAUUAGUUAAAAUGCCUAUGUCCAGAAGUAUACAUAUAGAAAAAAAACCAAUUAAACCUGUGCCUUGAGAUCCCAAAUGAUGUUUAAUGAGAUAGAAUGUCUUGGCAUAUAAUGGAGACUGUAUUCACAGCCUAUUUUAAAAGUGCUUACCUGAAAAUGUUAAAUAAAUAGUCAAUACAACAUAUUUUGUCAUAGAGCACAACAAUCCAAUGAGCCACCAAAUUAGCAUUAUAAUUAUUUUUUUUUAGUUCAUUUGUCUGUCAUGGAAGAGAUUACUGCUGCAGUUAAGAAUGUGUAUUAAUGUUUGUCACUGCUUAAGACUUCUAAUUAUAGAAGAGUCCCUUUGUGAUUACUUUUCCUGUACAUCAGUUACUUUUGGAUAUCUACAAACUAACUGCUCUAAAGCCUUACUUUUUACCUUGACUGAGUAAAAGACAACUUCCCUGUCUCUGUUGUUAUAACUUGAACCUUCCAGAAGUGCCUGGGACUCUGAAUAUAAAAAUGAAAGCAAAUUUUUUUGAGUGCCACUGACUUUUUUUUUUUGGUGUUGUAUAAGCAUUCACAUUGAAAAAGUGGUUGGGAUUGAAAUGUCUUUUUUUUUUUUUAACAUCUGUUUAAAGAAUUCCAAAAAUGUACAAACUGCAUAUGUGUUUUAGCAACAACUGGUAUCUCUCAAAUCAAGCCUAAGGUAUGAUCUCUGCUCUGGGAAGACAGGGCCAAGCAAAUCUCAGAUGUGACAUAGCAAGGUAUAAUAUGAGGUAGAAUGAGCAGAGUAAGAUGAUAUUCUUGGCGAGGAGGACUAAGGACAGUAUGAAAGAACACUUCAGUUUUGUGUUUAAUUGGAUGAAUAUGUAAAGAAAAAUGUAGAACAUGGAAUUUGCAUCUUCCUUUAAUAUGCUGUAAAGAACUAGGUCUUUGAGAGGAAUUUCAGAAGGUGGUGUCUGUAGGUCUUUACCACCUUAGUAACUGUAUUUCUUUAAAG